GACAGGAGGGGGCAAGCGUUGCUCGGAAUUGACUGGGCGGUAAAGGGCGCGUGAGGCAGGGAUGGCAAGUCGGUCGUGAAAUCCUUCGGCUCAACCGAAGAACGUCGAUCGAUACUGCUGUUCUUGAGGGUUGCAGAGGAGACUGGAAUUCCCGGUGUAGCGGUGAAAUGUGUAGAGAUCGGGAGGAACACCGGUGGCGAAGGCGGUUCUCUGGGCCUUACCUGACGCUGAGGAGCGAAAGCGUGGGUAGCGAACAGGG
rnacentral:rRNA from 1 species